UGGUUACCUUGAUAAGAUCAGUUAGUGGUAGACUGGUGGGGGUGAGCCUCUAACUAGGGUGAAUUCAGAAUCAAAUAAAGGAAGAAAAGUCAGAAGCAAGAAAGAAAGACAGCUCUUUCAAGGAGUUUUAAAAACCAGUUGCCUAAGAACUUCAUGUUGUAGCCUUGAAUUCCAGCCUUAUUAAUGGAGAGGAGUUAAGAUUGGUGAAUUCACUGAUGUGCAGGAUCAUGGAGUAAACUUCACAGAAUUAGCUAAAACUUGGACAUCCCACUCUAAGAUCGUGUGGCAGACAGAAUAACGGUCUCCUGAAAAUGCCAACGCCCUCGUCACCAGAACCUUGAGUAAUGUUUGCCAGGCCUUAUACUCUGAACAGAGAAAUACGUAAAGAUGGUUAAAAUGACUCUAGAGGAAACAUCCAACAUGUUACUGCCCUGAGCUCUCUAGAGGGACCCUUUUUCCUUAACCUUGCUUAAGCCUGCUGUGUUAGCUUUCUUUUUGAUUUCUGUGGACUAAGCAGAAUCUUUUCAACAAACUAUUUUGUUUACCUAAGUUGACUAGAGAUGCUUAUGAGGAAAGAGACCUAAGUGACGCACUGUUCCUUGCAUUUGGAACGCCUUGCCACAACCCAAUUUCACUUCCGGUUUCAGUCCCGUGUCCAGUCUCUUUCACUUUAUGGACUUGAUAGUGUGAUGGUUAAUAUUAGGUGUCCACUUGACUGGAUUGAGAGGUGCCUAGAUGGCGGCAAGUCCUAUGACUGAAGGCAGAAUGAGAGAGCACCAUUGAGCUAUAUGCACACGGUCUAGAGACAAGGAGGAGUGACAAACUGGGACCAUUAUUACUUUUGAUCUACCACAGGGCUUUUAUCUAUAGCCAAGUGGCUCGUCCUAACCUAGCGAGGCUAACUUCUGACAUCCAGCCCCACCUUGCCAGACCAUUUGGAAUUAACAUGUCUUGAGGAAAAUGCCUCCAUGAUAGGACACAGCUACUGUCUCAGGUAAAAAAGUCUAGCCCUCAGCUUCUGCUGUUCUUUUGGGUUCUUGUGUCUGGCUUGCUACACCUUGUCCUACUGCCUGUGUUUUCCAUUUUAAAGUCUAUCCUCUAAAACACCUACAAACUUUUCAGAAUGACUAAAAUUUUCAUUUGCAAAAUACUCAAUGAGUAUUUUAUGUUAUAAUUUAAAAUGCUUCCAAUAGUCAGCUCUUAGGGAAAUCUGGCUCUUAGUGCAGAAAUGGAGUAUGUGCCAGACAUCUGUCCAAUUACAGUACUGAUAAUAGAAAAGCUUUUAAAAAUCGACACCUCAUAAUAUGUUAAUGCAGGGAAAUACUUCUUAGCAGUUCUUAUAGAAUCUUGUCUUUUGCACAACAAAAGGCAAUUCUCCAUUUCAAUGCAGAUAUUGAGCAAAUGAAAAUUGCCUUUUUACUGUUUGAGAGGACAGAAGAAUAAAGAUAUUUGGCUUGAGAUAAUUGCUUACA
rnacentral:lncRNA from 13 species